UACGAAGGGUGCAAGCGUUAAUCGGAAUUACUGGGCGUAAAGGGUGCGUAGGCGGUUCGUUAAGUCUGUUGUGAAAUCCCCGGGCUCAACCUGGGAAUGGCAAUGGAUACUGGCGGGCUAGAGUGUGUCAGAGGAUGGUGGAAUUCCCGGUGUAGCGGUGAAAUGCGUAGAGAUCGGGAGGAACAUUAGUGGCGAAGGCGGCCAUCUGGGACAACACUGACGCUGAAGCACGAAAGCGUGGGGAGCAAACAGG
rnacentral:rRNA from 1 species